UGACCCUACGGGGGGCAGCAGUGAGGAAUAUUGGUCAAUGGGCGGAAGCCUGAACCAGCCAAGUCGCGUGAGGGAAUAAGGCCCUACGGGUCGUAAACCUCUUUUGCCGGGGAGCAAGGGCGGGGUCGUGUCCCGGCCCGGAGAGUACCCGGAGAAAAAGCAUCGGCUAACUCCGUGCCAGCAGCCUCGGUAAUACGGAGGAUGCGAGCGUUAUCCGGAUUUAUUGGGGUUAAAGGGUGCGGAGGCGGGCUUUUAAG
rnacentral:rRNA from 1 species